rnacentral:rRNA from 1 species
GACGAACGCUGGCGGCGUGCUUAACACAUGCAAGUCGAACGAUGAACCCGGAGCUUGCUCCGGUGGAUUAGUGGCGAACGGGUGAGUAACACGUGAGUAACCUGCCCUUGACUCUGGGAUAACUGCGGGAAACUGUAGCUAAUACCGGAUACGACCCUCGGCGGCAUCGCCAGGGGGUGGAAAGAAUUUCGGUCAAGGAUGGACUCGCGGCCUAUCGGCUAGUUGGUGAGGUAACGGCUCACCAAGGCGACGACGGGUAGCCGGCCUGAGAGGGUGACCGGCCACACUGGGACUGAGAUACGGCCCAGACUCCUACGGGAGGCAGCAGUGGGGAAUAUUGCACAAUGGGCGCAAGCCUGAUGCAGCGACGCCGCGUGAGGGAUGACGGCCUUCGGGUUGUAAACCUCUUUCAGCACAGACGAAGCGCAAGUGACGGUAUGUGCAGAAGAAGGACCGGCCAACUACGUGCCAGCAGCCGCCGCAG